rnacentral:rRNA from 1 species
CGCGUAGGCGGCGCGGUAAGUCACUUGUGAAAUCUCUGAGCUUAACUCAGAACGGCCAAGUGAUACUGCAGUGCUAGAGUGUGGAAGGGGCAAUCGGAAUUCUUGGUGUAGCGGUGAAAUGCGUAGAUAUCAAGAGGAACACCUGAGGUGAAGACGGGUUGCUGGGCCAACACUGACGCUGAGGCGCGAAAGCCAGGGGAGCGAAACG